UACAGAGGGGGCAAGCGUUAUUCGGAAUUAUUGGGCGUAAAGGGCGCGUAGGCGGCCUUGCAAGUGACGGGUGAAAUCCCUCGGCUUAACCGAGGAACUGCCUGUCAGACUGCAUGGCUUGAGACCAGGAGAGGUGAGUGGAAUUCCCAGUGUAGCGGUGAAAUGCGUAGAUAUUGGGAGGAACACCAGUGGCGAAGGCGGCUCACUGGACUGGUACUGACGCUGAGACGCGAAAGCGUGGGGAGCGAACAGG
rnacentral:rRNA from 1 species